AUUGUUACUCCGUGCGCUAUGGCUCCCAGUGAUGGGAAAUGUAGUCCCAGACAGUCAGUGCGGAUUGUUACUCCGUGCGCUAUGGCUCCCAGUGAUGGGAAAUGUAGUCCCAGACAGUCAGUGCGGAUUGUUACUCCGUGCGCUAUGGCUCCCAGUGAUGGGAAAUGUAGUCCCAGUCAGUGCGGAUUGUUACUCCGUGCGCUAUGGCUCCCAGUGAUGGGAAAUGUAGUUCCAGACAGUCAGUGCGGAUUGUUACUCCGUGCGCUAUGGCUCCCAGUGAUGGGAAAUGUAGUCCCAGUCAGUCAGUGCGGAUUGAUACUCCGUGCGCAAUGGCUCUCAGUGAUGGGAAAUGUAGUCCCAGUCAGUCAGUGCGGAUUGAUACUCCGUGCGCUGUGGCUCUCAGUGAUGGGAAAUGUAGUCCCAGACAGUCAGUGCGGAUUGAUACUCCGUGCGCUGUGGCUCUCAGUGAUGGGAAAUGUAGUCCCAGACAGUCAGUGCGGAUUGAUACUCCAGGUGCUAUGGCUCCCAGUGAUGGGAAAUGUAGNNNNNNNNNNNNNNNNNNNNNNNNNNNNNNNNNNNNNNNNNNNNNNNNNNNNNNNNNNNNNNNNNNNNNNNNNNNNNNNNNNNNNNNNNNNNNNNNNNNNUAGUCCCAGACAGUCAGUGCGGAUUGUUACUCCGUGCGCUAUGGCUCCCAGUGAUGGGAAAUGUAGUCACAGACAGUCAGUGCGGAUUGUUACUCCAAGCGCUAUGGCUCCCAGUGAUGGGAAAUGUAGUCACAGACAGUCAGUGCGGAUUGUUACUCCGUGCGCUAUGGCUCCCAGUGAUGGGAAAUGUAGUCCCAGACAGUCAGUGCGGAUUGAUACUCCGUGCGCUGUGGCUCCCAGUGAUGGGAAAUGUAGUCCCAGACAGUCAGUGCGGAUUGUUACUCCGUGCGCUAUGGCUCCCAGUGAUGGGAAAUGUAGUCACAGACAGUCAGUGCGGAUUGUUACUCCAUGCGCUAUGGCUCCCAGUGAUGGGAAAUGUAGUCACAGACAGUCAGUGCGGAUUGUUACUCCGUGCGCUAUGGCUCCCAGUGAUGGGAAAUGUGUAGUCCCAGUCAGCGCGCGAUUGAUACCCAGGUGCUGUGGCUCCCAGUGAUGGGAAAUGCAGUCCCAGACAGUCAGCGCGAUUGUUACUCCUGCGCUGUGGCUCCCAGUGAUGGGAAAUGUAGUCCCAGACAGUGCGGAUUGAUUCGUAUGCCAUGGCUCCCAGUGAUGGGAAAUGUAGUCCCAGACAGUCAGUGCGAUUGUUACCCUCGCGGGCGCUUAUGGCUCCCAGUGAUGGGAAAUGUAGUCCCAGUCAGUCAGUGCGGAUUGUUACUCCAGGUGCUGUGGCUCCCAGUGAUGGGAAAUGUAGUCCCAGUCAGUCAGUGCGGAUUGUUACUCCAGGUGCUGUGGCUCCCAGUGAUGGGAAAUGUAGCCCCAGACAGUGCGGAUUGUUACUCCGUGCGCUAUGGCUCCCAGUGAUGGGAAAUGUAGUCCCAGACAGUCAGUGCGGAUUGUUACUCCGUGCGCUAUGGCUCCCAGUGAUGGGAAAUGUAGUCCCAGUCAGUCAGUGCGGAUUGAUACUCCAUGUGCUAUGGCUCCCAGUGAUGGGAAAUGUAGUCCCAGACAGUCAGUGCGGAUUGUUACUCCGUGCGCUAUGGCUCCCAGUGAUGGGAAAUGUAGUCCCAGACAGUCAGUGCGGAUUGUUACUCCGUGCGCUAUGGCUCCCAGUGAUGGGAAAUGUAGUCCCAGACAGUCAGUGCGGAUUGUUACUCCGUGCGCUAUGGCUCCCAGUGAUGGGAAAUGUAGUCCCAGACAGUCAGUGCGGAUUGUUACUCCGUGCGCUAUGGCUCCCAGUGAUGGGAAAUGUAGUCCCAGACAGUCAGUGCGGAUUGUUACUCCGUGCGCUAUGGCUCCCAGUGAUGGGAAAUGUAGUCCCAGACAGUCAGUGCGGAUUGUUACUCCGUGCGCUAUGGCUCCCAGUGAUGGGAAAUGUAGUCCCAGACAGUCAGUGCGGAUUGUUACUCCGUGCGCUAUGGCUCCCAGUGAUGGGAAAUGUAGUCCCAGACAGUCAGUGCGGAUUGUUACUCCGUGCGCUAUGGCUCCCAGUGAUGGGAAAUGUAGUCCCAGACAGUCAGUGCGGAUUGUUACUCCGUGCGCUAUGGCUCCCAGUGAUGGGAAAUGUAGUCCCAGACAGUCAGUGCGGAUUGUUACUCCGUGCGCUAUGGCUCCCAGUGAUGGGAAAUGUAGUCCCAGACAGUCAGUGCGGAUUGUUACUCCGUGCGCUAUGGCUCCCAGUGAUGGGAAAUGUAGUCCCAGACAGUCAGUGCGGAUUGUUACUCCGUGCGCUAUGGCUCCCAGUGAUGGGAAAUGUAGUCCCAGACAGUCAGUGCGGAUUGUUACUCCGUGCGCUAUGGCUCCCAGUGAUGGGAAAUGUAGUCCCAGACAGUCAGUGCGGAUUGUUACUCCGUGCGCUAUGGCUCCCAGUGAUGGGAAAUGUAGUCCCAGACAGUCAGUGCGGAUUGUUACUCCGUGCGCUAUGGCUCCCAGUGAUGGGAAAUGUAGUCCCAGACAGUCAGUGCGGAUUGUUACUCCGUGCGCUAUGGCUCCCAGUGAUGGGAAAUGUAGUCCCAGACAGUCAGUGCGGAUUGUUACUCCGUGCGCUAUGGCUCCCAGUGAUGGGAAAUGUAGUCCCAGACAGUCAGUGCGGAUUGUUACUCCGUGCGCUAUGGCUCCCAGUGAUGGGAAAUGUAGUCCCAGACAGUCAGUGUGGAUUGCUACUCCGUGCACUAUGGCUCCCAGUGAUGGGAAAUGUAGUCCCAGACAGUCAGUGCGGAUUGUUACUCCGUGCGCUGUGGCUCCCAGUGAUGGGAAAUGUAGUCCCAGACAGUCAGUGCGGAUUGUUACUCCAAGCGCUAUGGCUCCCAGUGAUGGGAAAUGUAGUCACAGACAGUCAGUGCGGAUUGUUACUCCGUGCGCUAUGGCUCCCAGUGAUGGGAAAUGUAGUCCCAGACAGUCAGUGCGGAUUGAUACUCCGUGCGCUGUGGCUCCCAGUGAUGGGAAAUGUAGUCCCAGACAGUCAGUGCUGAUUGAUACUCCAGGUGCUCUGGCUCCCAGUGAUGGGAAAUGUAGUCCCAGACAGUCAGUGCGGAUUGUUACUCCAUGCGCUGUGGCUCCCAGUGAUGGGAAAUGUAGUCCCAGACAGUGCGGAUUGAUACUCCGUGCGCUAUGGCUCCCAGUGAUGGGAAAUGUAGUCCCAGACAGUCAGUGCGGAUUGUUACUCCGUGCGCUAUGGCUCCCAGUGAUGGGAAAUGUAGUCCCAGUCAGUCAGUGCGGAUUGAUACUCCGUGCGCAAUGGCUCUCAGUGAUGGGAAAUGUAGUCCCAGUCAGUCAGUGCGGAUUGAUACUCCGUGCGCUGUGGCUCUCAGUGAUGGGAAAUGUAGUCCCAGACAGUCAGUGCGGAUUGAUACUCCGUGCGCUGUGGCUCUCAGUGAUGGGAAAUGUAGUCCCAGACAGUCAGUGCGGAUUGAUACUCCAGGUGCUAUGGCUCCCAGUGAUGGGAAAUGUAGUCCCAGUCAGUCAGUGCGGAUUGUUACUCCAUGUGCUAUGGCUCCCAGUGAUGGGAAAUGUAGUCCCAGACAGUCAGUGCGGGUUGUUACUCCAUGUGCUAUGGCUCCCAGUGAUGGGAAAUGUAGUCCCAGACAGUCAGUGCGGAUUGUUACUCCAUGUGCUAUGGCUCCCAGUGAUGGGAAAUGUAGUCCCAGACAGUCAGUGCGGAUUGUUACUCCAUGCGCUAUGGCUCCCAGUGAUGGGAAAUGUAGUCCCAGACAGUCAGUGCGGAUUGAUACUCCAGGUGCUAUGGCUCCCAGUGAUGGGAAAUGUAGUCCCAGACAGUCAGUGCGGAUUGUUACUCCGUGCGCUAUGGCUCCCAGUGAUGGGAAAUGUAGUCCCAGUCAGUCAGUGCGGAUUGAUACUCCGUGCGCUAUGGCUCUCAGUGAUGGGAAAUGUAGUCCCAGUCAGUCAGUGCGGAUUGAUACUCCGUGCGCUGUGGCUCUCAGUGAUGGGAAAUGUAGUCUCAGACAGUCAGUGCGGAUUGAUACUCCGUGCGCUGUGGCUCUCAGUGAUGGGAAAUGUAGUCCCAGACAGUCAGUGCGGAUUGAUACUCCAGGUGCUAUGGCUCCCAGUGAUGGGAAAUGUAGUCCCAGACAGUCAGUGCGGAUUGUUACUCCAUGUGCUAUGGCUCCCAGUGAUGGGAAAUGUAGUCCCAGACAGUCAGUGCGGAUUGUUACUCCAGGUGCUGUGGCUCCCAGUGAUGGGAAAUGUAGUCCCAGACAGUCAGUGCGGAUUGUUACUCCGUGCGCUGUGGCUCCCAGUGAUGGGAAAUGUAGUCCCAGACAGUCAGUGCGGAUUGAUACCCCAGGUGCUAUGGCUCCCAGUGAUGGGAAAUGUAGUCCCAGACAGUCAGUGCGGAUUGUUACUCCAGGUGCUGUGGCUCCCAGUGAUGGGAAAUGUAGUCCCAGACAGUCAGUGCGGAUUGUUACUCCGUGCGCUAUGGCUCCCAGUGAUGGGAAAUGUAGUCCCAGACAGUCAGUACGGAUUGUUACUCCGUGCGCU
rnacentral:lncRNA from 1 species